rnacentral:rRNA from 1 species
GACGCGACCCGGUGGAUGCCUUGGCUCGGGGGACGAUGAAGGACGUGGCUGACGACGAUACUCGAUGUGGUCCAAGCACGUGACAUCGAUCUUCGAAUGGAUCAUCGGGGUGGUG